AGUGAACGCUGGCGGUAGGCCUAACACAUGCAAGUCGAACGGCAGCACAGUAAGAGCUUGCUCUUACGGGUGGCGAGUGGCGGACGGGUGAGGAAUACAUCGGAAUCUACUUUUUCGUGGGGGAUAACGUAGGGAAACUUACGCUAAUACCGCAUACGACCUACGGGUGAAAGCAGGGGAUCUUCGGACCUUUCGCGAUUGAAUGAGCCGAUGUUGGAUUAGCUAGUUGGCUGGGUAAAGGCCCACCAAGGCGACGAUCCGUAGCUGGUCUGAGAGGAUGAUCAGCCAAACGGAAACUGAGCACCGGCCCAGCCCCCAACGGGAGGAAGCAGUGGGGAAUAUUGGCAAAUGGGCGAAAGCCUGCUCCAGCCAUACCGCGUGGGUGAAGAAGGCCUUCGGGUUGUAAAGCCCUUUUGUUGGGAAAGAAAAGCAGCAGGUUAAUACCCCGCUGUUCUGACGGUACCAAAAGAAUAAGCACCGGCUAACUUCGU
rnacentral:rRNA from 1 species